ACCACCAAACAUUGCGGGCACAUCCUACUGACAAACCGGUCCCACUAGCUGCUGAUGCGCAUCCAUCCGGCAACUACUCACGCUCAGGUCGCCGUCGCGACUCGCGCCGCCUCUCGGCUCGCUAGCCGCUACGCUAUCUACGCCGCCCCGGCACCUCCCAUGAGAUGAGAGCCGCAGCCGCAGCCACAUCCACAGCCGCCGCGCUCCUCGCCCCCGGUCUAAAGCUCUGCGCGGGCGGCGCCCGCGCGCGCGUCUCCUGUCCCUCCCGCUCCCGCCUCCCACUCCACCGCAUCGCCGCCAUGGCCUCCGCCCCCAACCCCUCCUUCCGCCCGGAGGAGGCACGCUCCCCUCCCGCCCUCGAGCUCCCGACCCCGCCGCUCUCCAAGUUCAAGGUGGCGCUGUGCCAGCUCUCGGUGACGGCGGACAAGAAUCGCAACAUCGCGCACGCGCGCGCGGCCAUCGAGAAGGCGGCCUCCGAGGGCGCUAAGCUCGUCCUUCUCCCAGAGAUAUGGAAUGGUCCGUAUUCAAAUGACAGCUUUCCAGAGUACGCGGAGGACAUUGAAGCUGGCGGAGAUGCGGCCCCUUCAUUUUCAAUGAUGUCGGAGGUUGCUCGCAUCUUACAAGUCACUCUUGUUGGUGGGUCCAUAGCUGAACGUUCGGGAAACAACUUAUACAAUACAUGCUGCAUCUUUGGUUCAGAUGGCAAACUUAAGGGUAAACAUAGAAAGAUCCAUCUUUUUGACAUUGACAUUCCAGGAAAGAUCACUUUCAAGGAAUCGAAGACUCUUACUGCUGGGCAGAAUCCUACUGUUGUAGACACAGAUGUUGGGCGAAUUGGUAUUGGUAUAUGUUAUGACAUCCGUUUCCAGGAAUUAGCAAUGUUGUAUGCUGCAAGAGGUGCUCAUUUGUUAUGCUAUCCUGGUGCAUUCAAUAUGACUACUGGACCACUGCAUUGGGAGUUGCUGCAAAGGGCAAGGGCUACAGACAACCAGCUGUUUGUUGCAACAUGCGGCCCAGCUCGAGAUACCAGUGCAGGAUAUGUUGCUUGGGGACACUCCACUCUUGUUGGACCUACUGAUACUAUGCACCACCACAAAACUAAUUCUGUACCUGUUGUGGUUUUUGCCAACAAUCUGUAAGUUGUACGCUUGCAAAGAAGAUAUGUCAUGCCAUAAUUAACCAUUUGUGUACUUCUAGUUUGGAGAGGUGAUUGCAACAACUGAGCAUGAGGAGGCAACUAUAAUAGCAGAAAUUGACUACUCACUGAUUGAGCAGAGGAGGCAAUUUCUUCCUCUGCAACACCAACGCCGUGGCGAUCUCUAUCAGCUGGUUGAUGUCCAGAGGCUGGGUUCUCAUUAGCACAGGGACGAAGCAGGAGAGCAGUUGACUCUGCAGGCUUGCUCGUACUACUUCGUUCAUGAGAUGCAUGCCCAUGCCCAUCGAGAGAUCGAUCAACUUGAUGUGUGAAGGUGGAGAGGACGGAAUAAAGCGACUAUAGUUUGUACCUUCAGCGCUAGUUUGGCAACUCUAUUUUACAAGAGAUUCUUAUUUUUCUAAGGAAAAAUUGAUUAAUUUUUCUUAGGAAAAUAGAAAUCACUUGGGAAAAUAUGAUUGCCAGACUAGCCCUCAGUGUAAAUGUCUCCAUGUCAAGGGCGGUAUUGCCCAAGGUAGGAGGACCUCGGCUACGUAGAUCGUAGCCUUGACCCGUGGUUGCCGGCAGGGUUAUGCCCCCACGCCGAGCUACCCGUCGACAGGAGAAGUUCUCCUGGUCGCCGGUUUAGAGAAGAGAGGAAGAGACUUGAUAGGUAAUUCUUGAUUGAUUUCCAAGUGCCACCCUACAUGGCUAUAUAUAGCCGGCAGCUUACACAAAUGGAGAAGGUUCUCCUUGAUUGAAGAUCUAAUCAAAAUAGGAAGGAUACUAAUCAGCUA